GCGCUGGUGGUAUAGGGGUAAAGCGCGCGACCACAUGUAGAAGCUAUGGUCCUCGUGGCGGCCGUCCCGGGUUCGAGUCCCGGACCCGGCGACCU